UUGGAGGGCAGUCUGGUGCCAGCAGCCGCGGUAAUUCCAGCUCCAUAGCGUAUAUUAAAGUUGUUGCAGUUAAAAAGCUCGUAGUUGAAUUUCGGGAUCAAUAUGUCGGUCGUGCCAUCGGUACGUACUGGUAUCAUUGGUCUCUCCUUUCUGACGAACCAUGAUGUCAUUAAUUUGGUGUUAUGGGGGGUUAGGACUGUUACUUUGAAAAAAUUAGAGUGUUUAAAGCAGGCAUUAGCUUGAAUACAUUAGCAUGGAAUAAUGAAAUAGGACGUUCGAACCUAUUUUGUUGGUUUCUAGGAUCAACGUAAUGAUUAAUAGGGAUAGUUGGGGGCAUUAGUAUUCAAUUGUCAGAGGUGAAAUUCUUGGAUUUAUUGAAGACUAACUACUGCGAAAGCAUUUGCCAAGGAUGUUUUCAUUAAUCAAGAACGAAAGUUAGGGGAUCGAAGACGAUCAGAUACCGUCGUAGUCUUAACCAUAAACUAUGCCGACUAGGGAUCGGAUGAUGUUAAUUUUUUAAUGACUCAUUCGGCGCCUUACGGGAAAC
rnacentral:rRNA from 1 species